GACAGCAAGGGCACUAGCCAUGAGAGAGAGAGACAGCAAGGGCAGUAGCCUGAGAGAGAGAGACAGCAAGGGCACUAGCAUGAGAGAGAGAGAGAGACAGCAAGGGCACUAGCCACGAGAGAGACAGCAAGGGCACUAGCCAUGAGAGAGAGAGACAGCAAGGGCAGUAGCCUGAGAGAGAGAGACAGCAAGGACACUGGCCAUGAGAGAGAGAGACAGCAAGGACACUAGCCUGAGAGAGAGAGACAGCAAGGACAGACAGCAAGGACACUAGCCUGAGAGAGAGAGAGACAGCAAGGACACUAGCCUGAGAGAGAGAGACAGCAAGGACAGACAGCAAGGACACUGGCCAUGAGAGAGAGAGAGACAGCAAGGACACUGGCCAUGAAAGAGACAACAAGGGCAGUAGCAUGAGAGAGACAACAAGGACGCUAGCCUGAGAGAGACAGGUCCACAAUGGGACAAAGUAGAAAAAGUCUACUUUUAGAAGUAAAGUGCUUGUGUCUGAAGCUUUAAAUCAAUAAUCUAUUACAGUCAGCUUUGUUUAUGUCUUGGCUCAGGCUUACUACAGAAAGUGUCAAAUAAUAGCCUCAAAAAGACCUUUCUACCUUCCUUCUAUUUUGUUUUAUUUAUUAGAAUUAAGUAAGAACAUUUAUUUAUUUAUCAUUGCCAUGCCUCGGGGGCCGGCAGGGGAAGUCUAGGACAUGUUUAGCUGGAGGCUCUCCAUUGUUAGCGUCCUUAAAUUUGGAGUACACUCUUAAUAAAUAAUUAAAAGGUUCAAAAUGGUUGCAGUCAAAUGUCCAUGUUGACACAAACCCCCAUGAACCUAACACAUCGGGUUCCGCUCUGUUUGGCUUUCACUUUUUUUUUUAGGGCCAAUUCUAAUUAAAAUUCUCAUCAAUUUAAGAUUUAAUCCAUAAUUCAAAUUAAUUCAUAAUUCAAGAAAAGUGUUUCACACACGGUGUGAGAUUUGUUUGGUUUGUGUAAGAAAUGCACCUUUCAGGGAGAAUGAGUCAUCAGAAUUCAUGCUCUUAAUUAAUUAAUUCACUCAGCUAAGCUAACUACUGUAAGCUGUCACAUGCCGUAGCUAGCUCCAGGAACACUUCAUUCAGCUAAGAUAACUAAUGUAAGCUGUCCCAUGCCGUAGCUAGCUCCAGGAACACUUCAUUAAGCUAAGCUAACUAAUGUAAGCUGUCCCAUGCCGUAGCUAGCUCCAGGAACACUUUAUUCCCCCCUCCAAGACCCACCUGCCUAGAUCUUUAAGAUGUGUAGAGAAUAAGGAUAGAACUUGAUCACUAGGGCGCACUCUAAAGUUAGGUGGUCUCCAAAUGUAGUUGUUAUCCUCAGUGUGUUUGUAUGUGUGUGUGUUUGUUUGUGUGUGGGUGUGUGUGUGUGUGUGUGUGUGUGUUGGUAUGUGUGUGUGUGUGUGUGUUGGUAUGUGUGUGUGUGUGUGUUUUAUGUUUUUAUUUUCUGCUUUUAUGAGAUUAAUAAUUAUUUCAUCACAUUUAAUUCAUGUCAAGGAUUCCCAAAAUAACUUUUGGGUGAUCCAAAUCAAUUCAGUUCAAGUGUAUUU
ensembl:lncRNA